rnacentral:rRNA from 1 species
UACGUAGGGUGCAAGCGUUGUCCGGAAUUAUUGGGCGUAAAGAGCUCGUAGGCGGUUUGUUGCGUCGGCUGUGAAAACCCGGGGCUCAACCCCGGGCCUGCAGCCGAUACGGGCAGACUAGAGUCCGGAAGAGGAGAGUGGAAUUCCUGGUGUAGCGGUGAAAUGCGCAGAUAUCAGGAAGAACACCCGUGGCGAAGGCGGCUCUCUGGGACGGUACUGACGCUGAGACGCGAAAGCGUGGGGAGCGAACAGG